GAUAACUGGCUGAUGGAGUUCACAUCAACGAGAAGUAGCACCUCGAUGUCGGUUCUUCGCCACCUGGGUGCAGUAUGUUCUCGGGGUUGGGCUAUUCAUCCAUUAAAACAGUUGGUGAGCUGGGUUAGAACAUCGUGAGGCAGUUG
rnacentral:ncRNA from 1 species